rnacentral:rRNA from 1 species
AUGCGGAUGAAGCUGAAGGCUGCCUAUACUUUGAUAGAGCAGCUGUAUUCCGGAUCCCAACGGGCUAUUUGCACUGCUGCUUAUAACAUACCUCCUCCAACGCUGAUAAAAGAAACCAUCGAGAAGCUGUCAAUGUUGCCUACCCGUUUGGAUGAAGUUAAAAGAUUAGCUGCAAGGUCAGGCGCGCUGACUGUGCUAAUCCGGGCCAAGGCAUGGAUUCCAGAUCUUGAACCGGCAGAUAUUGGCCAAGGCUAUCCCGGCGUAAAGGAAGACGGCUUAGAAUUCAACAAUGAUGAUCUCCGAAGGCUGACAAGGGAACUGUGA